GGAUCUCUUGGUUCUGGCAUCGAUGAAGAACGCAGCGAAAUGCGAUAAGUAGUGUGAAUUGCAGAAUUCAGUGAAUCAUCGAAUCUUUGAACGCACAUUGCGCCCCUUGGUAUUCCGAGGGGCAUGCCUGUUCGAGCGUCAUUACACCACUCAAGCUAUGCUUGGUAUUGGGUGCCGUCCUUAGUUGGGCGCGCCUUAAAGACCUCGGCGAGGCCUCACCGGCUUUAGGCGUAGUAGAAUUUAUUCGAACGUCUGUCAAAGGAGAGGACUUCUGCCGACUGAAACCUUUUAUUUUUCUAGGUUGACCUCGGAUCAGGUAGGGAUACCCGCUGAACUUAAGCAUAUCAAUAAGCGGAGGA
rnacentral:rRNA from 1 species